GACAGAGGGGGCAAGCGUUGCUCGGAAUUACUGGGCGUAAAGGGCGCGUAGGCGGGAUGGCAAGUCCGCUGUAAAAGUCCAGGGCUCAACCCUGGAAAGCCGGUGGAUACUGCCGGGCUAGAGUCCGGAAGAGGCGAGUAGAAUUCCUGGUGUAGCGGUGGAAUGCGCAGAUAUCAGGAGGAAUACCCAUAGCGAAGGCAGCUCGCUGGGACGGUACUGACGCUAAGGCGCGAAAGCGUGGGGAGCGAACAGG
rnacentral:rRNA from 1 species